CGGCCCGGUAAGUCGUCCCUGAAAUCCACGGGCUCAACCCGUGGGCUGGGGACGAUACUGCCGGGCUUGGGGGCGGGAGAGGCCGAGGGUACUCCCGGGGUAGGGGCGAAAUCCGAUAAUCCCGGGAGGACCACCAGUGGCGAAGGCGCUCGGCUGGAACGCGCCCGACGGUGAGGGGCGAAAGCUGGGGGAGCAAAGGGGAUUAGAUACCCCUGUAGUCCCAGCUGUAAACGAUGCGGGCUAGCUGUUGGGCGGGCUUAGAGCCCGCCCAGUGGCGGAGGGAAGCCGUUAGCCCGCCGCCUGGGGGA
rnacentral:rRNA from 1 species